rnacentral:rRNA from 1 species
UGGGGAAUUUUGGACAAUGGGGGAAACCCUGAUCCAGCCAUCCCGCGUGUGCGAUGAAGGCCUUCGGGUUGUAAAGCACUUUUGGCAGGAAAGAAACGUCAUGGGUUAAUACCCCGUGAAACUGACGGUACCUGCAGAAUAAGCACCGGCUAACUACGUGCCAGCAGCCGCGGUAAUACGUAGGGUGCAAGCGUUAAUCGGAAUUACUGGGCGUAAAGCGUGCGCAGGCGGUUCGGAAAGAAAGAUGUGAAACCCCAGAGCUCAACUUUGGAACUGCAUUUUUAACUACCGGGCUAGAGUGUGUCAGAUGGAGGUGGAAUUCCGCGUGUAGCAGUGAAAUGCGUAGAUAUGCGGAGGAACACCGAUGGCGAAGGCAGCCUCCUGGGAUAACACUGACGCUCAUGCACGAAAGCGUGGGGAGCAAACAGG